rnacentral:rRNA from 1 species
UGGGGAAUUUUGCACAAUGGGGGAAACCCUGAUGCAGCGACGCCGCGUGAUUUAGAAGGCCUUCGGGUUGUAAAAAUCUUUUCUAUGGGAAGAAAAUGACAGUACCAUAGGAAUAAGGACCGGCUAAUUACGUGCCAGCAGCCGCGGUAAUACGUAAGGUCCGAGCGUUGUCCGGAAUCAUUGGGCGUAAAGGGUACGUAGGCGGGUAAGCAAGUUAGAAGUGAAAUCCUAUAGCUCAACUAUAGUAAGCUUUUAAAACUGCUCAUCUUGAGGUAUGGAAGGGAAAGUGGAAGUACUAGUGUAGCGGUGAAAUGCGCAGAUAUUAGGAGGAAGACCGGUGGCGAAGGCGACUUUCUGGCCAUAACCUGACGCUGAGGUACGAAAGCGUGGGUAGCAAGCAAG